rnacentral:rRNA from 1 species
GACGAACGCUGGCGGCGUGCUUAACACAUGCAAGUCGAACGGAAAGGCCCUGCUUUUGUGGGGUGCUCGAGUGGCGAACGGGUGAGUAACACGUGAGUAACCUGCCCUUGACUUUGGAAUAACUUCAGAAAACUGGGGCUAAUACCGGAUAGGAGCUCCUGCUGCAUGGUGGGGGUUGGAAAGUUUCGGCGGUUGGGGAUGGACUCGCGGCUUAUCAGCUUGUUGGUGGGGUAGUGGCUUACCAAGGCUUUGACGGGUAGCCGGCCUGAGAGGGUGACCGGCCACAUUGGGACUGAGAUACGGCCCAGACUCCUACGGGAGGCAGCAGUGGGGAAUAUUGCACAAUGGGCGGAAGCCUGAUGCAGCAACGCCGCGUGCGGGAUGACGGCCUUCGGGUUGUAAACCGCUUUCGCCUGUGACGAAGCGUGAGUGACGGUAAUGGGUAAAGAAGCACCGGCUAACUACGUG